rnacentral:rRNA from 1 species
CCUGGCUCAGGAUGAACGCUAGCUACAGGCUAACACAUGCAAGUCAGGGGCAGCAUGUGGUUGCUGCAACCAAUGAUGGCGACCGGCGCACGGGUGAGUAACGCGUAUCCAACCUUCCCCUUAGUAGAGGAUAGCCCGGCGAAAGUCGGAUUAAUACUCUAUGUUCUUCAAUGCGGACAUCUAAGUUGAAGCAAAGAUUUAUCGCUAAGGGAUGGGGAUGCGUCUGAUUAGGUUGCAGGCGGGGUAACGGCCCACCUGGCCUACGAUCAGUAGGGGUUCUGAGAGGAAGGUCCCCCACACUGGUACUGAGACACGGACCAGACUCCUACGGGAGGCAGCAGUGAGGAAUAUUGGUCAAUGGGCGCGAGCCUGAACCAGCCAAGUAGCGUGCAGGGAACCGACUGCCCUAUGGGUUGUAAACUGCUUUUAUCAGGGAAUAAAGUGAGGCACGCGUGCCUUUUUGUAUGUACCUGAUGAAUAAGGACCGGCUAAUUCCGUGCCAGCCGCAGC